rnacentral:misc_RNA from 1 species
GACCAUUACGACCUGUUUGGUGACAUUGAGUAUGGAGAAAAAUUCCGGGUCACCAUUACGGCAGGCGAGAACUCCAAUUUCGACAACCAAAGCCUGGUGGUCAACAUUGUUACUGGGGGCGAGGACUGGGAGGUAUGGGAUAAGUACAUGACCGACGGUGUCCUCAUCAUUGAGGCGGAAAUGGGCGUGGAUAUCGAUGAGGGUUCGUGGCCAAUCUUUUUCGACGUUGGCACUGCGGACCAGACGAAAGGCGGAGACUACCUGAUCUCUUCCGAGAUCAUCCCAGCCACACCGUAACCGAGAGAAGUCUCCGGCCUGAAUUGCUUGAGACUGAUGGACGCCCAGG